rnacentral:rRNA from 1 species
CCUACGGGGGGCAGCAGUGAGGAAUAUUGGUCAAUGGACGAGAGUCUGAACCAGCCAAGUAGCGUGAAGGAUGACUGCCCUAUGGGUUGUAAACUUCUUUUAUAUGGGAAUAAAAUGUUCCACGUGUGGGAUUUUGUAUGUACCAUAUGAAUAAGGAUCGGCUAACUCCGUGCCAGCAGCCGCGGUAAUACGGAGGAUCCGAGCGUUAUCCGGAUUUAUUGGGUUUAAAGGGUGCGUAGGUUGUUUUUUAAGUCAGCGGUGAAAGUUUGUGGCUCAACCAUAAAAUUGCCGUUGAAACUGGAAGACUUGAGUGUGUUUGAGGUAGGCGGAAUGCGUGGUGUAGCGGUGAAAUGCUUAGAUAUCACGAAGAACUCCGAUUGCGAAGGCAGCUCACUGGACUGCAACUGACACUGAUGCUCGAAAGUGUGGGUAUCAAACAGGAUUAGAUACCCGGGUAGUC